rnacentral:rRNA from 1 species
CCUACGGGCGGCAGCAGUGGGGGAUAUUGCACAAUGGGGGGAACCCUGAUGCAGCGACGCCGCGUGGGUGAAGGAGCGUUUCGGCGCGUAAAGCCCUAUCGGCAGGGAAGAAGGAGGACGGUACCUGACUAAGAAGCCCCGGCUAACUACGUGCCAGCAGCCGCGGUAAUACGUAGGGGGCAAGCGUUAUCCGGAUUUACUGGGUGUAAAGGGGGCGCAGACGGCAGCGCAAGCCAGGAGUGAAAGCCCGGGGCCCAACCCCGGGACUGCUCUUGGAACUGCGCGGCUGGAGUGCAGGAGGGGCAGGCGGAAUUCCUGGUGUAGCGGUGAAAUGCAUAGAUAUCACACAGAACACCGAUUGCGAAGGCAUCUCACGAAUCCGCGAUUGACGCUGAUGCACGAAAGCGUGGGUAUCAAACAGGAUUAGAUACCCGUGUAGUC